CUUGUGAGUCCAUUUCAUUUGUUGGGGGUGGAGGGUCAGGGAAGGCAAUCUUCAGACUAGUAGAAAUAUCUAUUAGUAGAAACAUCUACUGUAAGUAAAUAUUUCACUAUCAGGAUGUUGUGAGAUUUCAGUGAGAAAAAAUGUAAAACCACCUGGAACUUAAUAGGCACUCAAACUUGAGUCCUUUGCCCCCUUUUUUCACUUGCCUUAUAGAUGUAGGUGUUUUGCAAGGUUCUAUCCUGGGGCAGGAGGAGAAGGGGACGACAGAGGAUGAGAUGGACUGACUCGAUGGACGUGAGUCUGAGUGAACUCAGGGAGUUGGUGAUGGACAGGGAGGCCUGGCGUGCUGCGAUUCAUGGGGUCGCAAAGAGUCGGACACAACUGAGCGACUGAUCUGAUCUGAUCUGGUCCUGGGUCCAUUCCUUUGACACCUCCUAGUCUUCUCGGAAUCAUCUACUCUCACAGCUUCAAAUGCCUCCUACACACCAAGGAGGACUGUAUUUCUAGUUCUUCUCUUACUAUGGGUCUUCAGAAUGUCUCUUCCACUGUCUACAAAACAACUGCUUCUUGGUGUCCCCUACCCAUUCUCUACCCAACAGGUCAAACGAUUUCACUACCCAGGUUUUCAAGUGCCUAGAAAAACGCCUGACACCUAGUAGAUACAUGCGCAAAUCGCUUUGGCCACCUGAUACCAAGAACUGACUCACUGGAAAAGACCCUGAUGCUGGGAAAGACUGAGGCAGAGGAGAAGGGACAACAGAGGAUGAGAUGGUUGGAUGGCAUCACUGACUCAAUGGACAUGAGUUUGAGCAGCCUCCAGGAGUUGGUGAUGGACAGGGAAGCCUGGCCUGCUGCAGUCCAUGGGGCCACAGAGUUGGACACAACUGAGCAUCUGAACUGAAGAGAUCGUUUAUUGAAUGAAUUAAUCUGUCCUCUCCUCUUUGUCUCCACUGCCAAGAAUGUAGUCCAAGCCCAUAUUACGUCUCUUGAGAAUCAUGUUUAUAGCUCCUGAAUUAGUUUCUCGGCCUCUAGUAACUCCAGCUCCCAUUGCUUUCUCCCCAGUCCAUCCUGUACACUGCUUGCCAUGAAAAAAUUGUAAACAUCCUAAAAAAAUUUCCCUGAUCCUUCAUGAUGUAACCUCAAUCCACCUCUUUAGCCUAUUCUCCCACCAUCACCAUGUUUUCACACUCCAAAUUUCCUGUUUUCCCUACUUCGAACACACAUACUUAUUUCAAAUUUCCAAUUCCAAAUGCU
ensembl:lncRNA